UGGGGAAGAGACGAUUGCAGCCAGGGAUGAAGCACCUUCCAAAUUUGGGCUAUCGAAUGAAAUAGAGAGAGAGAUAGACAGAAGCACCUUCCAAUUUGUGGGCAAGAGGCGUUUGCAGCCAUGGAUGAAGCACCUGCUUUGAAAAGUUAUCUGCCCUUUCUGCUGAUUGGAUGAAUUGUGGAGAAGAUUUUUUGAGAAGAUGGAGUAUAAUUUUGAGUGAAUAACGCUGAGUGAAUUCAAAUAGUAGCAAAUUUGGGAGAAAUAUUUUGGAGAAGAUGAUGGGCUCUUUGAAAUCUCUUAAUUAAUGAGAUUAGGAGAUUAAUGAUCCCCUUGUGAUGUGGUGAUUGCCUUAUAUAAACAAAUGAAACGCCUUUUUUUAUGAUUAGGGAGAGGGGGGAAGAAAUAGAGAAAUUAAGAAACGCCUAUUUAUGAAACGCCUUUGGCUUAGAAGAAUUCAAAGAGGAAGAAAUAGAGGUUUCAAAGAGGAAGAAAUAGAGGUUUUUGAGAGCGCCACGUAGGAGAGAGAGUGGAUGUGAGCUCUCAAAAAUGUAUUCCAUUAUAUAAUAGAU
rnacentral:lncRNA from 1 species